AGAGUUUGAUCAUGGCUCAGAACGAACGCUGGCGGCGUGGAUAAGACAUGCAAGUCGAACGGGAACUUUCGGUGUAGCAAUACAUUGAAAGUUCUAGUGGCGAACGGGUGCGUAACACGUGGACAAUCUGCCUUAAAGUGGGGGAUAGCUCGGCGAAAGCCGAAUUAAUACCGCAUGUGAUCAGGGAAGACAUCUUUCCGACAUCAAAGCCGGGGCAACCUGGCGCUUUUAGAGGAGUCCGCGGCCUAUCAGCUAGUUGGUGAGGUAACGGCUCACCAAGGCUUUGACGGGUAGCUGGUCUGAGAGGACGACCAGUCACACUGGAACUGAGACACGGUCCAGACACCUACGGGUGGCAGCAGUCGAGAAUUUUUCUCAAUGGGGGAAACCCUGAAGGAGCGACGCCGCGUGGAGGAUGAAGGUCUUCGGGUUGUAAACUCCUGUCAUUUGGGAACAAGUCGUACGUAGUAACUAUACGUGCGUUGAUAGUACCAGAAGAGGAAGAGACGGCUAACUCUGUGCCAGCAGCCGCGGUAAUACAGAGGUCUCAAGCGUUGUUCGGAUUCAUUGGGCGUAAAGGGUGCGUAGGUGGCGCUGUAAGUCAGGUGUGAAAUUUCGGAGCUUAACUCCGAAACUGCAUUUGAUACUGCGGUGCUUGAGGACUGGAGAGGAGACUGGAAUUUACGGUGUAGCAGUGAAAUGCGUAGAGAUCGUAAGGAAGACCAGUGGCGAAGGCGGGUCUCUGGACAGUUCCUGACACUGAGGCACGAAGGCCAGGGGAGCAAACGGGAUUAGAUACCCCCGUAGUCC
rnacentral:rRNA from 1 species